UACGAAGGGGGCUAGCGUUGCUCGGAAUGACUGGGCGUAAAGGGCGCGUAGGCGGCUUGUACAGUCAGAUGUGAAAUUCCUGGGCUCAACCUGGGGGCUGCAUUUGAUACGUAUGGGCUUGAGUGGGGAAGAGGGUCGUGGAAUUCCCAGUGUAGAGGUGAAAUUCGUAGAUAUUGGGAAGAACACCGGUGGCGAAGGCGGAGACCUGGGCCUUUUACUGACGCUGAGGCGCGAAAGCGUGGGGAGCAAACAGG
rnacentral:rRNA from 1 species